ACUUAUUUAAUAUAUUAAGUAUAUUUGACUUCCAAUCAAAAAGUUUGUUAUACAAAAUAAGUA
rnacentral:tRNA from 1 species